AAUGGAAACCACGUGACUUGUCAAUAGUCUGGCAGAGGCCUUACACACACACAAACAGAGAGAGAUGAUUGACCCCUGAUUGAUGUCGCCUAUGAGUGGCAAAAUGUGUUAUCAGUAAAACUCUGAACUCAGUGUUGGAAGUGAUAAGCGGCCUAUGAUUAAAUGGUGUGAUCUACAAGCUUGAGUUUAGUUGAACUGUUGCAAGCUGCGUUGCAAGAUGUGCUGGCCAUUAAUCAAAGUUGCCACUUGGCUUACUCUGAGUCUCCUUGCUUUCGAUCUGUGCGGGGCAAAUGUUGUGUUUCACUUUUCCUUGGAUUUUCAUGUGAAGGAGCCCCCAAAUUCCAGCGAUCCAAUAAAUAAAACAAUCAUCGUGGAAAAUAAUCAGGUGUCGCUGCAGGACAAUGAGCCUGGUUCAAGUACAACUGCGCCCAGUGCGUGGAUCGAGGAGGAUCAGUAUAAUAUGGAUGCAGUGCAGCUGCUCGAGGAGACAACGCGUGCCGUGAAACAGUUAAAUGUGGAGCUAUCACCGCUGGUGGGCAGAAGCAACCAGUUGGCCGCAGUUCUCAAGCAAACGCUGCGCUAUGUGAACGAUGUGGAUGCAACUCUGGAGAAUGGCCAUUUUGCCCAGCAUGUGGAUCAGUUGCGCAAGUAUCCGCUGUUGAUCGACAACCUGAGAUUGGGUGGUGUGCGCACCCUCGAAUUUGUGCUGCUCAAGCUGGCCAUGGAGAAAUACAAAUUGCUGGAAAAGCAGCAAACAGUUGCCGAUUAUUUGCAGCGAGCGGAUGCGGCUUGGAGUAGAUUUAAGAACACACAGGUCGUUAUUAUCGAGCAGAGCUAAUUGAGUGCCUCAAAUUCUACGCCUCCAUUGAAAAACUCAAAGCUGAGAUUUAGUUUAACAGUUGUCUAGAUUUGUAUUAGAAUUCGUUGCGUUGCCAACAAAAGCCGAAAAAACAACAAUAAGCAAAAAGGUGGCAUUCCAAAAAUGGACUUCCUGUCGUUUUCCAUGCUGUUGUUUGGUGUUUUAUAUGUAUUCCAUUUGAUUCCACUGCAUUGCCUGCCAUUGCUACAGUGGCCCAAAUCUACCCUUGGAAAAUACGUUACACACGCUGGGAAUAAACUCACACACACGCACACAGAGACACAUAUACGUUAUGUGUGAGAGCAGAAGGAUUCCAGGUAGACGCAGACAAAGGCAACGAAUGAGCGCAUAAAGAGUGCCCCGCAAAACAACAGCAGCUGCCAGAUCCGUUGCUAAUGUGCUGCACAACAACAACAGUGAUGACGAUCGGCGAGAACACAGACGGUGCAACCGAGGGUAUCCUGCCCCUAGGCAGCCCGUCCUUAAAUUCCUGAAACUUGAAACCACCACGAAAACGCUCAAAAUACUUACAAACACUUAUGCGAUUAUCAGUACCAGUGUUGCCAUUUAAAAAUGGCUAGUUUUAGGACCAACUGAACUACAGCUGAAAAGUGUAUAGUAUUUAUUUUUAACAGUUUUUCUUUAUUAUAAUAUUUUCAGUCUAAGUC